AUGACGCAAAAUAGGGCUAAGUGGACAGCAAGGUAUGAGAAAGGUCUCGUGGAGGUACUUACAGAGUACAAUCUAUCUCAUUACCGUGGCCAAAAUGGGUGGACUACCGAAGGAUGGAAUCAAGUUGUCAAGGAACUGAACAAUUUAUAUCCAGAGGCAAGGUUUACCAAGGAUCAGGUUCAAGAUAAGGAAGCUCAGUUGAAAAAGCACUACAAAAAUAUCAAGUUGAUAGUCAACCACUCUGGAAUAUCAUGGAAUGAUAUUGCAUGUGUGAUCAACACCACGCCUGAAAAAUGGGAAGAGAUCAUUGCAGAGGACCCAAAGCUCAAAAUGUAUGAAGGAAAGAGCUUUCCAUUGUACGAGGCAUUGGGUGUGCUCUAUGAAGGACACAUUGCGCAAGGAAGACAUUGCCUCACCUCAAGGAAGCCUCCGAUUGGCACAAAAACAGGACAUGGAAGAGAUGACAACGUAAGGACUUCUUCAAUAAUUGACAUCAAUGAUACUCCUACAUUAGAUGAUGUGGAUGAAAGAGAGAACACUGUCAAUGACGAGGAAGAAUUAGGCAGUGAAGAUGCUGAUGGCGAUCAACCACAAAUAAGUGAAUCAAGUGCGAAAGGGAAAAAAACUAAGAAAAAAAAAGGUGCCACAUCUGUACAGCGGCUUGACGAUUCCAUGAUGGCUUAUGUGAAUUUCAAGAAAGAUCAAGCUUCCAAGAAGAAAAAAAGUUCACAGCAAGGAAAACAACCCUCAAUUACAGAAUGCUUGCAGGUCUUGAAUGACAUGGAUGAUGUUCCCGACCAGGUCAAAAUCUUUGCCUCUGAUGUUUUCAAGGAUGCAGCAAAUCGUGAGAUUUUCCUGGGUUACAACUCAAGAUUGCGGGGUAUGUGGCUAAAGAAGGAAGUCGACAAGAUUAGUCCUCGGCCUCCUCCUUGUAAGUACCAUUAUCUUGGUUUUCUGCAUUUCUUCUCUCCACUAAAGAUAAGUUUGUAA
rnacentral:rRNA from 1 species